UCCCAGAGCUCUUUUAUGAAUGGACCUGCUAAUGCAAAGUCUCUGGGAUGUGGUGGGCAACAUGAGACUCAAGAGCACCCAAAGCAUCUACAGGGAUUCAGCUCCACACAAGGCACUGCACUUGGUGCUUGUUUUGGGCAGUGAUACCAGCAGCUGCCACUCCACCAUCAUCUCUGGCUACGUGGAGGAAACCAAGCUAUAGGAGAAAAGAGCACGACCAACUCAGAAAGAAGCUGAGCCAAUUUGAGAAGGAGGAAAUGAAUGGCAGGGAAAGAAUAUGGACUGAGAGUUGGUGCUGACAGUCAACAUGCAACCACAAGGUUCACCAGGUGAAUCUGAGAAGAGGAACAACUUCUAAAGAUGGUACAGCAGAAAGUUAGAGGAAGUCUUGGGUUCCUAACAACUGUGGAGUGACUUGCCAAUGGAGGAUUCCAAUUUUUCAGUUUGUUUUAAAUGAGAGAGAAAUAAACCUGGCCAAUUUACCUUA